rnacentral:rRNA from 1 species
UACGGGGGGGGCAAGCGUUGUUCGGAAUUACUGGGCGUAAAGGGCUCGUAGGCGGCCAACUAAGUCAGACGUGAAAUCCCUCAGCUUAACUGGGGAACUGCGUCUGAUACUGGAUGGCUCGAGUGUGGGAGAGGAAUGCGGAAUUCCAGGUGUAGCGGUGAAAUGCGUAGAUAUCUGGAGGAACACCGGUGGCGAAGGCGGCAUCCUGGACCAACACUGACGCUGAGGAGCGAAAGCCAGGGGAGCAAACGGG